CUGUCAAAAGUGCGUGAGGCAAAUGGCGUUGAUAUUCUGUCUGCUGUUGCCCCUGUUCUGGGGCCAGGGGCACCUGUUUGAGCUGCAGGAGGCAAUCCAAGAGUUGCAGAUUGAGAAUACGGAGCUCCAAGGGAAAAUCCAGAACCUCACAGAGGCCCUGAGUGAACUCCAGGUCUUCGUUUGGAACCAAUCACAGGGUUCUGAGUCUGCUGCGGAACACCUUCACCAUGAGCACCUGCAAUGCCACCCAAAUGCCCACUGGCGCAAUACUGCUGCUGCCACCAUCUUGGCACCCUCUGUGAUAUGGCUUCUUGCUCUGAUGUUCUGGACAGUGACGUUGACAAAAGGUUGAGAAAUAUGCCCUCAUUUUUUGGAUGUGGUGGAAUCAUGGUGCAGUACUUCCUUUCCUCUACAGGGGGAGCUUUGACAUUUGCAAGGGUUUCUUAUGGAUUCUACCCCACCUUCUAUGAAAGCCUUCUGAUGGUGUCUUGUGUUGGACCCUCUUCCUCUUUCCUGCUCCAUUGCAGAUUCUGAUGGGCUCACUGGCACUAAUAGUGAAAGGUUACAAGUUCAAAUUUCUCCUUAUUCUAGUUUUAGUCCCGAUUCUGGAUUUCCUUUUAUUUUUAUUAUGCUUUGGCCUGUUUUGGAAUAAAGAUAUUGAUUAAGAAUCAAUUAUUAAGAAUCAGACAUUGAUUAACAAUCUGAGUCUGAGAUGAAAGAAGGUAUUAGCAUGGGAAUAAUAUACCUCAGGUCAAUCCAUCAAUUGCAUUUUUAUCCUCCCCCUAAGCUCCUGUUUUCCCAAGGAUCGUUCUGGUUGUGUACGUGAUUAUCCCUUCCUUCACUUUAUGUCACGACAACCUUGUGAGGUAUGUUAAGCCAAGAGAGUGAUUGGUUGUAUAGUCCAAUACCCCAAUCACUACAAUAUAUUGGCACACUGGUCUGUUAUAAACUGGCCUGAUUUCUAAUUCUUUUAAAAUCUUGCUUAAUUUAGCCAAUGGACAACUUAACUGCUACAAACGUAACUGAAUAUAUGCAAAUAUGUAAUGGCUGUUGACUAUUUUACAAGCAGUCCUAAUGUUUUUGUAUGUGGCUAUGGGAAAGAUUUAGCAGUGUCUUGACUGAGAAACUUUGAGAGAGAAGUUUUAAUGGAGUCUCCUCUAUGCAUUUUAAUCAACCUUAUUAAACAAUAAAAAAUGAUUAAUCACAA